rnacentral:rRNA from 1 species
AAUCAACGCUGGCGGCGCGCUUAACACAUGCAAGUCGAGCGAGAAAGCGGGGGGUAACUCCUGUGAGUAAAGCGGCGUACGGGUGAGUAACACGUGGAUGAUCUACCUCAUGGUGGGGAAUAACCCAGGGAAACCCGGGCUAAUACCGCAUAAUCCAUCCUUUUAACUAGGGGAAUGGCAAAGAAGAAAUUCGCCGGGAGAGGAGUCCGCGGCCGAUUAGCUGGAUGGUGAGGUAACGGCUCACCAUGGCAUAGAUCGGUAGCCGGCCUGAGAGGGCACACGGCCACACUGGCACUGAAACACGGGCCAGACUCCUACGGGAGGGCAGCAGUGGGGAAUCUUGCACAAUGGGGGAAACCCUGAUGCAGCGACGCCGCGUGAGCGAUGAAGCCCUU